rnacentral:rRNA from 1 species
UACAGAGGUGGCGAGCGUUGUUCGGAUUUACUGGGCGUAAAGGGCGCGUAGGCGGCCCCGUGUGUCGCGUGUGAAAUCCCCGGGCUCAACCCGGGAAGUGCGCGCGAAACUGCGGGGCUCGAGCGGAGGAGGGGAGAGCGGAAUUCAUGGUGUAGCGGUGAAAUGCGUUGAUAUCAUGAGGAACACCGGUGGCGAAGGCGGCUCUCUGGAAUCCUGCUGACGCUGAGGCGCGAAAGCCGGGGGAGCAAACAGGAUUAGAUACCCUGGUA